GUGCUCACUUAGGCAGCACAUAUACUAAAACUGGAACGAUACAAAGCAGGUUAGUAUGGCCCCUGCACAAAGAUGACAUGCAAAUUCAUGAAACAUUCCAUAGUUUG
ensembl:snRNA U6 U6 spliceosomal RNA